GGUGGUUCUCGGGUGAUGUACUGAAAUCAGGCUCCCUCUCUCUGGUUCUGGGUGCAUCACCCAAGAACCACA
rfam:Myotis davidii contig71525, whole genome shotgun sequence.